rnacentral:misc_RNA from 1 species
GAUGAAGAACGUAGCGAAAUGCGAUAAGUAAUGUGAAUUGCAGAAUUCAGUGAGUCAUCGAAUCUUUGAACGCACAUUGCGCCCGGUAGUAUUCUGCCGGGCAUGCCUGUUCGAGCGUCAUUUCAACCAUCAAGCCCCAGCGCUUGUGUUGGGGGCCUGCGGCUGCCGCAGCCCCCUAAAAGCAGUGGCGGGCUCGCUAUCACACCGAGUGCAGUAGUUCAUCUUCUCUCCGGUCUUGUGAGGCGGGUUCCGGCCGUGAAACACCCCACUACAUUCAAGGUUGACCUCGGAUCAGGUAGGAAUACCCGCUGAACUUAAGCAUAUCAAUAAGCGGAGGA